AAACUCAGAGCAUAGCUUAACUAUGAUAAAGCGCCUCCCUUACACUGAGGAGAUGCCCGUGCAAAUCGGGCUGACCUGAAAACUUCACCCCUUGGUUCAACCUAGAGCAGAGCUUAAUAUAGCCCAAGCAUCUCCCUUUAACGGAAACACACCCGUGCAAACCGGGUUGACUCUACAAGCCCAACAGCUAGCCCAAUCCCCCAAAACAACCAUCCACCAUAACUAACCCCAAAAACACGUACCCCCACAAAACAAAUCAUUUUUCCCCCUAAGUAUAGGCGAUAGAAAAG
rnacentral:rRNA from 1 species